rnacentral:rRNA from 1 species
GACGAACGCUGGCGGCGUGCUUAACACAUGCAAGUCGAACGAAGUGGCGAACGGGUGAGUAAUACGUGGGUACCCUGCCCUCCUUUUUUGGAUAAGCCGUGGAAACGGGGUCUACUACCGAAUAACGGGGGAGGGGCUCGCGGCUUAUCAGCUUGUUGGUGGCGUGCUGGCCUACCAAGGCGGUGCCGGGUAGCCAGCCUGAGAGGGCGCCCUGCAACAUAGGGACGGAGAUACGGCCCAGAGUAGUACGGGGUGGAGCAGUGGGGGAUAUGGCGCAAUGGGCGAAAGACUCAUGCAGCGAGGCCGCGUGGGGGAUGAAGGCUUUCGAGUUGUAAACCUCUUUCGGUAUCGAAGGGUUAUGUGGAGAAGAAGCGCCGGCUAACUACGUGCCAGCCGCCGCGGUAAUAC